rnacentral:rRNA from 1 species
UGAGGAAUAUUGGUCAAUGGGCGAGAGCCUGAACCAGCCAAGUAGCGUGCAGGAUGACGGCCCUAUGGGUUGUAAACUGCUUUUGUAAGGGAAUAAAGUGAGCCUCGUGAGGCUUUUUGCAUGUACCUUAUGAAUAAGGACCGGCUAAUUCCGUGCCAGCAGCCGCGGUAAUACGGAAGGUCCGGGCGUUAUCCGGAUUUAUUGGGUUUAAAGGGAGCGUAGGCCGGAGAUUAAGCGUGUUGUGAAAUGUAGACGCUCAACGUCUGCACUGCAGCGCGAACUGGUUUCCUUGAGUACGCACAAAGUGGGCGGAAUUCGUGGUGUAGCGGUGAAAUGCUUAGAUAUCACGAAGAACUCCGAUUGCGAAGGCAGCUUUCCAGCGCGCUACUGACGCUGAGGCACGAAAGCGUGGGGAUCGAACA